rnacentral:rRNA from 1 species
AGUCGAGGGGAAACGACAUCGAAAGCUUGCUUUUGAUGGGCGUCGACCGGCGCACGGGUGAGUAACGCGUAUCCAACCUGCCCACCACUUGGGGAUAACCUUGCGAAAGUAAGACUAAUACCCAAUGACGUCUCUAGAAGACAUCUGAAGGAGAUUAAAGAUUUAUCGGUGAUGGAUGGGGAUGCGUCUGAUUAGCUUGUUGGCGGGGUAACGGCCCACCAAGGCGACGAUCAGUAGGGGUUCUGAGAGGAAGGUCCCCCACAUUGGAACUGAGACACGGUCCAAACUCCUACGGGAGGCAGCAGUGAGGAAUAUUGGUCAAUGGACGAGAGUCUGAACCAGCCAAGUAGCGUGCAGGAUGACGGCCCUAUGGGUUGUAAACUGCUUUUAUAAGGGAAUAAAGUGAGUCUCGUGAGACUUUUUGCAUGUACCUUAUGAAUAAGGACCGGCUAAUUCCGUGCCAGCAGCCGCGGUAAUACGGAAGGUCCGGGCGUUAUCCGGAUUUAUUGGGUUUAAAGGGAGCGUAGGCCGGAGAUUAAGCGUGUUGUGAAAUGUAGAUGCUCAACAUCUGAACUGCAGCGCGAACUGGUUUCCUUGAGUACGCACAAAGUGGGCGGAAUUCGUGGUGUAGCGGUGAAAUGCUUAGAUAUCACGAAGAACUCCGAUUGCGAAGGCAGCUCACUGGAGCGCAACUGACGCUGAAGCUCGAAAGUGCGGGUAUCGAACAGGAUUAGAUACCCUGGUAGUCCGCACGGUAAACGAUGGAUGCCCGCUGUUGGUCUGAAUAGGUCAGCGGCCAAGCGAAAGCAUUAAGCAUCCCACCUGGGGAGUACGCCGGCAACGGUGAAACUCAAAGGAAUUGACGGGGGCCCGCACAAGCGGAGGAACAUGUGGUUUAAUUCGAUGAUAC